GAUGAACGCUAGCGACAGGCUUAACACAUGCAAGUCGAGGGGCAGCAAGAAUUGUAGCAAUACAAUUUGUUGGCGACCGGCGCACGGGUGAGUAACGCGUGAGCAACCUGCCCAUAAGUUGGGGAUAGCCCUGGGAAACCGGGAUUAAUACCGAAUGUGGUAGCAAUACUAAAGCAGUAAUGCGCUUAUGGAGGGGCUCGCGUCCUAUUAGUUAGUUGGGGAGGUAACGGCUCACCAAGGCGAUGACGGGUAGCCGGUCUGAGAGGAUGUCCGGCCACACUGGAACUGAGACACGGUCCAGACACCUACGGGUGGCAGCAGUCGAGAAUCAUUCACAAUGGGGGCAACCCUGAUGGUGCGACGCCGCGUGGGGGAAGAAGGUCUUCGGAUUGUAAACCCCUGUCAUGUGGGAGCAAGCAGCAAUGUUGAUAGUACCACAAGAGGAAGAGACGGCUAACUCCGUGCCAGCAGCCGCCGUAACAC
rnacentral:rRNA from 1 species